rnacentral:rRNA from 1 species
AGUGAACGCUGGCGGUAGGCCUAACACAUGCAAGUCGAACGGCAGCACAGUAAGAGCUUGCUCUUACGGGUGGCGAGUGGCGGACGGGUGAGGAAUACAUCGGAAUCUACUUUUUCGUGGGGGAUAACGUAGGGAAACUUACGCUAAUACCGCAUACGACCUACGGGUGAAAGCAGGGGAUCUUCGGACCUUGCGCGAUUGAAUGAGCCGAUGUCGGAUUAGCUAGUUGGCGGGGUAAAGGCCCACCAAGGCGACGAUCCGUAGCUGGUCUGAGAGGAUGAACACCCACAGUGGAAGGGAGAAGCGCUCCAACCCCCUGAGGGAGGCAGCGGUGGGGAAUUUGGGACAAUGGGCGCAAGCGUGCUCCAGCCAUCGCGGGUGGGUAAAAAGGGCGUGCGGGUUGUAAACCCCUUUUGUGGGGAAAAAAAAGCAGCGGGUAAAUCCCCCGCUUUUCUGGGGGACCCAAAAAAAAAAGCACCGGCUAACUUGGUC